rnacentral:RNase_P_RNA from 1 species
AAUAGCGUUCGUUCUGUCGCUGCCCGCAAGGGGAGAGGAAAGUCCGGACAACAUAGAGCGCCAUACUUCCUAACAGGAAGGAGCUUUGCAAAAAGUUACAGCAAGUGCCACAGAAAAAAACCGCUCUGUAAAAAGAGUAAGGGUGAAAACGUAAGGUAAGAGCUUACGCUGCUUGCAGUGAUGUAACGCAGGGGUAAACCUUAUGGGUUGAAAGACCAAAUAGACCGAGGCUUGAGGGCUGCUCGUCCGACUCGGAGGGUAGGUUGAUAAAGGUUUAGGGCGACCUGAAUCGUAGAUAAAUGACAGAAGAUUACAGAAUCCGGCUUAUAGAACGCUAUUUUUU